CCCUCCUCCUCCUCCUCCCUCACCAGGAAAGCGACGGUGCCUCUGGGUCCUAGCUGCUCCCACUGCAGCGGCAGACCACGGAGAGCUGCCCCAGACACCUGCUGCCCUUUUCUCUCCGUGAACCUGGAGAGGAGGUUCCCCGUUGCAGUGAGCAUGAAAAACCCAGACCUGAAAGGGAGGGCGUGUUUUCACAGCACCUUCUCCUCGUCAGCCUCUUUCCAACGCUCCUGAAAACCGGCUCUGAAAAGAUCUGCUCUGUUCAGACAACGACUAACCGGGCUCCUCACCCAGAGCCCGAGGGUGAGGGAGAGGAAAACCGUGUCAUUAAGUUUGAGGGACAGGCCUUGGAGAGGCACAGAGACACAGGACCUCAGUGCGGGAUCACGAAGUCCAGACUUUCUGGUUUACAAGGGAAGCUGUUAUGGCCCAGAGAGGCUCACCGACCCCGCAUCAGUAUGUAUGAACGCGGAAUGUACACUUGAAUGUGAAAGGUACAUAUGGUGGCUUCCAGUGGAUUCACUGAUAACUCAGUCCAGAGAAAGAAUGAGGCGCAGGACGGGCCCCUGAGGCUGCUCACCAGGAUGGAGUAAGGGAGAGGCUGGUCUGAGAUGAUACAGACUCCCCAGGUCCUGAGAAUUACCUUCAGAAGGAAGGAAGGACCGAAUGAAGGAAAGAACGAUGUGGAAACAAAGGGAAAAAGAGAAUAACAAGGAACAGAACCGCUGCCCCAGACUGAGUCUGCUCUGCUGGACCUAGGUCAGAAGCUGCCUUGGGGCCGGCCCCGUGGCCGAGUGGUUAAGUUCGCGCUCCGCUUCGGCGGCCCAGGGUUUCGCCGGUUCGGAUCCUGGGCGAGGACAUGGCACCACUGGUCAGGCCAUGCUGAGGCGGCAUCCCACAUGCCACAACUAGAAGAAAGGACCCACAACUAGAAUACACAACUAUGUUCUGGGGGACUUUGGGAGAAGAAGGGAAAAAAAAGCUGCCCUGACACAGACUCCAGGCUUUCACCCACUGUUCAGAGAGCACACGCUGAACAUCCACAUCGGAGAACCCUCCCAUCUCUGUAGCUGGAGCCUCCGUUUCCUGAUUUGUCAAAGAAGAGGGUUGGCAUUAGCGAUUUCUAAAGAACUUCCAGCAAGGAAAUACUUGCAUCUUCUGGUUCAUGUCCCUGUGGUGUGAUUUCUAGUGGCUUUUCCCUUAGGAAUACCUGGCAUUUUCUGGUUCCGCCAGGAGUAGAGGACCCAGCUGGGUGCUCAGCUCUCACCACAAGAAGUGUCACACUGGAAGAGAAUUAUGUUAAUUGCAUUUGGGGGGUGCUGUGCCUUUGGAACAGGUGGCCAGAGAGUCAAAAUCUAAUUUGCAUACUGAGAGGAGUUGAAAAAUGAUGCCUUCUAAUGAACAAAAUGUCUGCAAUGGGUCUGGCUUGAUUAGCAUAAAAGUGUUUAUCACGUUGACAUACAGUCAGAAGGCUGGGUAAAUUUGCCUCUAAAAAUCACCGAAGCAGAGGUCUCUCCACUUUUGAUUUCUAUACAGCCUGUAAGUAUCAUGACAGGCCUGAAAGCAGGACCACAAUCUGAUUAAAGACGAGUGUCUGACGCUAUCCUGCUGAUUGGUUUGUGUUCAUUUGAUGGGUGACAGCCCUGAAGAGUGAGAAGGGAAACCCCCGACGUCUGCGCAGUGGCAGCUCAUAAGGGUUUUGGAUGGAAGAUCCUGGUUUGGGGAGGGCUAAGCUUCUCCCCUCCCUCUCUGUUGAAAUGCGGAGGCUGAACAGCUCUAGGCUGGCCAAACUUCUAUCUGUUUCACUGACCUGUUUAGAAACUCAAAGUUUCUUUUCAUAAUGCCACCCAGCUGCUUGAGUUGACUUCCGCCCAUCACCAGAAUUGACAGACUGUUUCAGCCUCAGGUCUCUUUCGCCCUUACAAGGUUUUCCCCAUCCUCUGUUAAGGUAGAAGGUCGUGAUCAGAUGUGCAUGUGUGUGUGUGUGUGUGUGUGUGUGUAAGAUUACUCUGAAUCUGUACAUGAGUGUUCAUAGCAGCUCUAUUCACACUAGCCCAAAGUACAAACCAACCAAAUGUCCAUCAACAGAUGAAUGGAUAAACAAAUUAUGGCACAUACACACAAUGGAAUUUUACUCAGCCGUAAACAGGAAUGAGGUACUGAUCCACGCUACAGUGUGGAUGAAUCUUGAAAACAUUAUGCUAAGUGAAAGAAGUAGACACAAAAAGUAGACACCAAAAUAUUUCAUGAUUCCACUUACAUGAAAUGUCCUGAAUAGGUAAGUCCACAGAGACAGAAAGCAGCUUGGUGGUCACUGGGAGCUGGGGAGGGAAGGCGGAUGGGGAAUGACUGCUUGAUGGGCGUGGAGUUUCCUUUUGGGAUGAUGAAAAGGUUUUGGAACUUGAUGUAGGCGGUGCAUACACAAUAUUGUGAAUAAACUAAAUG
ensembl:lncRNA